rnacentral:rRNA from 1 species
GACGAACGCUGGCGGCGUGCUUAACACAUGCAAGUCGAGCGGUAAGGCCCUUUCGGGGGUACACGAGCGGCGAACGGGUGAGUAACACGUGGGUGACCUGCCCUCAGCUCUGGGAUAAGCCUGGGAAACCGGGUCUAAUACUGGUUAUGACUCCAUGACGCAUGUUGUGGGGUGGAAAGCCUUGUGCGGCUGAGGAUGGGCCCGCGGCCUAUCAGCUUGUUGGUGGGGUGANGGCCUACCAAGGCGACGACGGGUAGCCGGCCUGAGAGGGCGACCGGCCACACUGGGACUGAGACACGGCCCAGACUCCUACGGGAGGCAGCAGUGGGGAAUCUUGCGCAAUGGGCGAAAGCCUGACGCAGCGACGCCGCGUGAGGGAUGACGGCCU